AUUGAACGCUGGCGGCAGGCCUAACACAUGCAAGUCGAGCGAGCGGCGGACGGGUGAGUAAUGUCUGGGAAACUGCCUGAUGGAGGGGGAUAACUACUGGAAACGGUAGCUAAUACCGCAUACCAUCAGAUGUGCCCAGAUGGGAUUAGCUAGUAGUGGGGGUAACGGCUCACCUAGGGGACGAUCCCUAGCUUGUCUGAGAGGAUGACCAGCAACAAUGGAACUGAGAAACGGGCCAGAAGCCUACGUGAGGCAGCAGUGGGGAAUAUGGCAAAAGGGGGGCAAGCCUGAUGCAGCCAUGCCGCGUGUGUGAAGAAGGCCUUCGGGUUGUAAAGCACUUUCAGCGGGGAGGCGUUACCCGCAGAAGAAGCACCGGCUAACUCCGUGCCAGCAGCCGCGGUAAUAC
rnacentral:rRNA from 1 species